AACAGUAAUGUAUAUUUCCACAGGUAAACAGUCACACAUGAAAAUGCGUCGGUAUUGUGUGGCAAAAGUGUUGCGAACAAGCAUCACUAUAAACAUGUUUCAAAGUGUAAAUAUCCGCUCAAGGUAACCAGUUGUUUCAGGUCCCUUCAACCAAACUGUUCCCAUGAAAACAUAAGAAAUGUGACUUAAUGGAUCAAUAUAAUUAUAUACACUUUUACUCAUACCUGCAAACUUGUCACCUUUCGGUGAAAUUCACCUUUUUGUCAUUUGCGGCUUCCUCCUACACGUGGUGGUUGGACGUAUAACUCGAGAUAAAAUACAUGCGUAGCAAGAUGUGUUGGGUAUCUUAUGAUUAAAAGGUUUGAUUAAUACGUUUGACUGAAUGACGUAAAUACCAAAUGUAUUGAUGAAACGUGUAGCUAACCGACACAUGUGACGUAGGCGGCGUCAUUGACCGGUAACGUUAUGGUGCUAAACGUUAGCGAGCUAUCGGUGUUACUGGCUUUAUAUAUAUAUAUAUAUAUAUAUAUAUAUAUAUAUAUGUCCGUCUAUGUUCUGGGUUAAUUAGUAAUGAGACAUGAUCAAGAGAUGAAGUGGCGUCUGUUUAUUUUUUAUCUGACAAACACAAUCUGAAGUCAGUAGGGAAAACUUUGUUUUUAAUUUCUCUGAAUCUAAAUUGACAUAUUAUUUAUUUUGUCAGGCACACUACCACCUCCCAAGGAAACCGUCAAAGGCAAUAUAAAAACUACCACGGAAUAUAAAAUAGAUGAUGAUGGAAAGAAGUUAAAGGUUUCUGAGUCUGAUGUCAUAUCCUGCAGGGCGCUGGAAAGACUUGGCAGACAUCCCAGCAGCGCAGCCUCCUGGGGCUGAUUCAGCCAAUGUUCCCACCCAGGAAUCCUGGAUGUCUGACAGGAAACAAGCCCAACUCUCCCAAGGCCACUAUAAGUCAGUCUCUCCCCUCACCCCGAAAACCUCUCCCGGGGCCUUUCUGUAUGCUUCUCUCCAACUAUCUUACAAAUAGACAUUCUUCUUCACCACACCCCAUUUCCAGUCUCCCUGCUUUCUGCCCAGCUUCCCACCAUAGCCCAGUUUUUCUUUAGCCUUUAAGCAAUUGAACAACUUUAUUAGGUAAGAGAGCCAUGAUUAAUGGCCAAGGAGCAUGUGCAUGCACUUUCAGGCUUUCAUGUUGAAGCUAGUGUUUUUCUGACCAUGUCAGAGCACGUUUGGAUUAAAUGCUCCAUUUUGAAUACUUCUCAGAUGCAGGCACAAUAGAGAGGCGUCUCAGGACCUGCAGGGAAUCACUGCUACAAUUAAGUUGCUUGCAAAUCAGAGUUAAAGGCACAAAAGGUU